rnacentral:rRNA from 1 species
GAUGAACGCUGGCGGUGUGGAUAAGGCAUGCAAGUCGAAUGGGUUUAGACCCAUGGCGAACGGGGUAGUAACAGGUAGGAAUGUACCAGAGAGUCGCGGAUAACUUCUCGAAAGAGAUGAUAAUACGCGAUACGCCUUCGGGUGAAAGAUUUAUCGCUCUCUGAUCAGCCUGCUUCGUAUCAGCUUGUUGGUAGUGUAAAAGACUACCAAGGCUAUGACGCGUAGGGGAGGUGAGAGCCUGACCCCCACCAAUGGCACUGAGACACUGGCCAUACUCCUACGGGAGGCUGCAGUCGAGAAUCUUCCGCAAUGCACGAAAGUGUGACGGAGCGACACCGCGUGAUGGAUGAAGGCCUUCGGGUUGUAAACAUCUUUUAUAGAUGAAGAAGUUUAUUGACAUUAGUCUAUGAAUAAGGGGCUCCUAACCACG